ACCCUGACCAAAAUAUACCGUGCACGCGUUAUCUACCUGUCGAGAGAUGGAUUCGUCUAUCACACGGCCAAGUCCUCGACACCCUCCUCUCCUAGAUGCGGUGGCUCGUGGUAAAAGAACCCACGGCGCCCAAGGCGUCAAGGAACACUGUGCCUAGCCCAGGAAGGCAGGCGGCUUGAUGGCUGCCCCUCGUGGUGCAAAGCAAUAUAAUCCACACGACUCUCGGCAACGGAUAUCUUGGCUCUAGCAUCGAUGAAGAACGUAGCGAAAUGCGAUACCUGGUGUGAAUUGCAGAAUCCCGCGAACCAUCGAGUCUUUGAACGCAAGUUGCGCCCAAGGCCAUUCGGCCGGGGGCACGCCUGCCUGGGCGUCACGCUAAACACGCUCCCAUCCCCUCAUUGGGAGCGGGAUGUGGCAUAUGGCUCCUUGUCGCGCAAGUUGCGUUGGGCCAAAGAUAUGGCUGCUGGUGUACCGUGCCGGACACAGCGCGUGGUAGGCGUCCUCGCUAUACUUCUGUAGUGUCUCCGGUGUGUAGCCAAGGUGAUGGCCUCGAAAGAGCCUUUCAAUGGUGCGCAUGACGCUCCGACC
rnacentral:rRNA from 1 species